UCCCUGGUGGUCCAGUGGCUAAGACUCUGCACUCCCAACACAGGGGGCCCAGGUUCAACUCCCGGUCAGGAAA
rnacentral:tRNA from 1 species